rnacentral:rRNA from 1 species
CUUGAUUAAAUAUAAGAGGUCCAGCCUGCCCAGUGACUUAGUUCAACGGCCGCGGUACCCUGACCGUGCGAAGGUAGCAUAAUCAUUUGUUCUCUAAAUGGGGACUUGUAUCAACGGCAUCACGAGGGCUAUACUGUCUCCUUCCUCUAAUCAGUGAAACUGAUCUCCCCGUGAAGAAGCGGGGAUUAAAAAAUAAGACGAGAAGACCCCAUGGAGCUUUAAACUUAUUAUGCACCUUAAGUUUUAUUAACCAUACCAAGCUUUAAAGAUCUGCAUAAUCGCUUUAGGUUGGGGAGACCGCGGAGUAUAAUAAAACCUCCUUGAUAGAUGGGCUAUGCCCUUAUCCAAGAGCUACAUCUCUAAGAAUCAAAAACCUGAUAUUUAAUGRCCCGASUAUUCAAUUAACGAACCA